rnacentral:sRNA from 1 species
UUUUUCACAUGCGUACUCCCCCCGCUCGUGUUUUGUUGUUGUUGUUUUGAGGUGGAUUCUCGCUCUGUCACCCAGGCUAGAGUGCAGUGCGCAAUCUCAGCUCACUGCAACCUCUGCCUCCUGGGUUCAAGCGAUUCUCAUACCUCAACUUCCCAAGUAGCUGGGAUUACAGGCACCUGCCACCACCCCUGGCUAAUUUUGGUAUUUUUAGUAGAGAACGGGGUUUCACCAUGUUCGCUGGGCUGGUCUCCAACUCCUGAUCUCAAGUGAUCUACCCACCUCAGCCUCCCAAAGUGUUGGGAUUAUAGGCAUGAGCCACCAUACUCAGCCUCGCCCUGCUCUUUAUAUAUACAGAAAUAUACAUGUAUCUUUGUAUUUGUGUGUGUAUGUGUGUGUAUCUUAAUUUUAAGAAGUCAAAUCUGUCAGUCUUUUAUAGUUUCUAUCUUGGUAUGAUGCUAAGAAAAGCCUUGCCCCCCUCAAGUUUAUGAACACAUUUGAUCAUGUUUUCUUUCAGUACUUCUGUGCUUUCAUUUUUUAUAUUUAAAUAUUUGAUCCUUUUAGGCUUAAUUUUAAAAUAAUAAAUAAGGCAGAGACCCGAUUCCCCUAACUCAAAUAACUGGUCAGUUGUCUCAAAUGAUCCAACUUUCCCCAUUGAUUUGACAGGUUCCUUUUGUAAUACAUUGCAUUCACAAAACAAGUCUGUUUUGUUUCAUUGACUUAUCAGUCUACUGUUACACCUGUACUGCAUUCUUUUAACUAUUAUGUCUUAUACAUUUUAAUUUAUUUUAUUAUAUUUUAUUUUUUAGAGAUGGGGUCUUGCUCUGUUGGCCAGGCUGGUCUCAAACUCCUGACCUCAAGCAAUCCUCCCAUCUCAGCCUCCCAAAAUGCUGGGAUUACAGGCAUAAGCCACCAUGCCUGGCCCCUGUGCAUUUUAAUAUGGGUGACAGCAGGGUAGGGGAAGCAAUCCCCCUCACCCACAAGACAUUAGUCCUUUUAGUCCUUUUUUCAGAAUUUUCCUGGCUGUUCUCUUUCUUUUUUUUUUUUUUUUUUUUUUUUUUGAGACAAUCUCACUCUGUCACCCAGGCUAGAGUGCAGUGACACAAUCUCAGCUUACCGCAACCUCCGCCUCCUGGGCUCAAUAGAUCCUCCCGCUUCAGGCUCCCGAGUAGCUGGGACUAUAGGCACGCACCACCACACCUGGCUAAUUUUUGUAUUUUUAGUACAGAUGGGGUUUCACCACGUUGGCCAGGCUGGUCUCAAACUCCUGAGCUCAAGUGAUCUGCCCCCCUCGCCUCCCAAAGUGCUGGGAUUGCAGGCGUGAUCCACUGUGCCCAGCUUUUCUGGCUGUUCUCACAUGUUUAUUCUUCUCAUUGAGCUUUAGAUUAUUUUAUCAAUUCCUCCAAAAGGUCUUAUUGAGAUAUAAUCCAAUUUGACUGAAUCUAUGGAUGGAUUUACAUAGAAAUGAUGAUUUACAUGUCAGUUCUUAGCUUUGAAAUAUUUUGUCUGUACUUAUUCUGUCAUGGUUUUAUAGUUUUUCCAUGUAGACACUCUACAUUUCUUAAAUUUUCUCCCCCUGAACAAUUUUGUUUGUAAUUGUUAUUGUGACAGGGCUCUUGCCUUCCAUUUCAUCUCCCAAGGAUUGCUGUUUCUCAUCUGUCAGUGGUUAUUUUGACCACUUUUCCUCUCAGAAUAUGGCCUCAAGCUCCUAAUUCCUCAGGUUGCUAACCCACCCUGUGUAGCCUUCCUAGUGGACAACAGCCACCAGAAGGCAGGGGAAGCUGCCAGAGGCUGUGGCGCCCAGGCCAGCACUAACACGGUUCAUUCCUUUUUCCCUUGCCCCACCUUCUAGAGGCCACUACUUUUGCUCAGUGUAUGGGGCACGGCUGAUGGUACCAGCUGGCCGGGGGCUCAUCGUGGUCAUCUCCUCCCCAGGAAGCCUGCAGUAUAUGUUCAACGUCCCCUAUGGUGUGGGCAAAGCUGCGGUGAGGACCCAGUGGCAUAGGAGCUGAGGAGUGUGACAAGCUGGCUGCUGACUGUGCCCACGAGCUGCGGCGCCAUGGGGUCAGCUAUGUGUCUCUGUGGCCAGGGAUUGUGCAGACAGAACUGCUGAAGGAGCAUAUGGCAAAGGAGGAGGUCCUGCAGGAUCCUGUGUUUAAGCAGAUCCCAAUAUCCUGAGCCUGAGUGGUAAGGUGCUGCCAUCCUGUGACCUUGCUCGACGCUAUGGCCUCCGGGAUGUGGACGGUCGCCCCGUCCAAGACUAUUUGUCUUUGAGCUCUGUUCUCUCACACGUGUCUGGCCUGGACUGGCUGGCCUCCUACUUGCCCUCCUUCCUCCGUGUGCCCAAGUGGAUUAUUGCCCUCUACACUAGCAAGUUCUAACCCUCCUGGUCUCACAACACGUCUCUGCUUGUCUUCUCAUUUGGGCUUGGUGGUUGGUCCUAUCUCAAUGAAACAGCAGCCUUUCUUGCUUACCCAUACCCUUGAUAUGAAGAGAAGGCCUCUGCUGUGUGUCUGUGGUGAGUUCUGGGGUGCGCCUAGUUCCUUUCUUUAUGCCUUGGUUUUCCUUGUCCUUCUUUUUACUUUUUGCCUUAGUAUUGAAAAAUGCUCUUGGAGCUAAUAAAAGUCUCAUUUCUCUUUC